GACGAACGCUGGCGGCGUGCCUAAUACAUGCAAGUCGAACGCUUCUUUCCUCCCGAGUGCUUGCACUCAAUUGGAAAGAGGAGUGGCGGACGGGUGAGUAACACGCGGGUAACCUACCCAUCAGAGGGGGAUAACACUUGGAAACAGGUGCUAAUACCGCAUAACAGUUUAUGCCGCAUGGCAUAAGAGUGAAAGGCGCUUUCGGGUGUCGUUGAUGGAUGGACCCGCGGUGCAUUAGCUAGUUGGGGAGGUAACGGCUCACCAAGGCAACGAUGCAUAGCCGACCUGAGAGGGUGAUCGGCCACACUGGGACUGAGACACGGCCCAGACUCCUACGGGAGGCAGCAGUAGGGAAUCUUCGGCAAUGGACGAAAGUCUGACCGAGCAACGCCGCGUGAGUGAAGAAGGUUUUCGGAUCGUAAAACUCUGUUGUUAGAGAAGAACAAGGACGUUAGUAACUGAACGUCCCCUGACGGUAUCUAACCAGAAAGCCACGGCUAACUACGUG
rnacentral:rRNA from 1 species